UACCACAGGGAUAACUGGCUUG
rnacentral:siRNA from 1 species